rnacentral:rRNA from 1 species
UACGUAGGGGGCAAGCGUUGUCCGGAAUCAUUGGGCGUAAAGCGCACGUAGGCGGACUGUUAAGUCGGGGGUGAAAUCCUGGGGCUCAACCUCAGAAUUGCCUCCGAUACUGGCAGUCUGGAGUGCGGGAGAGGUGAGUGGAAUUCCCAGUGUAGAGGUGAAAUUCGUAGAUAUUGGGGAAGAACACCAGUGGCGAAGGCGGCUCACUGGCCCGUAACUGACGCUGAGGUGCGAAAGCGUGGGGAGCAAACAGG